UCCCUGAUAGCUCAGUUGGUAAAGAAUCUGCCUAUAAUGCAGAAGACCCUGGUUUGAUUCCUGGGUCGAGAA
rnacentral:tRNA from 1 species